AGCGACUGUGCAGGUUACCGCGGCUGCUGGCACGGAGUUAGCCGGUGCUUCUUCUGUGAGUGAUGUCCUUCCUGCCGGCUAUUAACCCGCAGGCCUUCUUCCUCACUGAAGUGCUUUACAACCCGAAGGCCUUCUUCACACACGCGGCAUGGCUGGAUCAGGGUUGCCCCCAUUGUCCAAUAUUCCCCACUGCUGCCUCCCGUAGGAGUCUGGGCCGUGUCUCAGUCCCAGUGUGGCUGAUCAUCCUCUCAGACCCAGCUACGGAUCGUCGCCUUGGUGAGCCGUUACCUCACCACCAGCUAAUCCGACAUAGGCUCAUCCGAUAGCGCGAGGCCCGAAGGUCCCCCGCUUUCCCCCGUA
rnacentral:rRNA from 1 species